AGAAGGCCAGUGGAAAGAACAGAGGAGGAAACAUUACUUAGUAAUCUGACUGCAAGAUCUAUAUUGAUUUGGCUAGGAGAGCAACUCUGCCUUACUGCAGAAAUGAUUGCUGUUGUCUUAAGACUUACAUAACUAGUAUUGCUUAAAAGUCCAUAGGCUCGCUCCCAGCAUCUCCCCCUUUCUUUAUUAAAAAUUAAGACGAUUUUGGUUGAGCAGGCUAAGGGGCAGGAACAGGGGCCUGAUCCUCAGUGGAUAUCUGGUGCAUGAAGAGGACUCUUAGUCUUACAGGCUCUGCUGAAGAGAAAGAGUUUCUCUAUUAAGCACAAGGUGUCUUUUUCCUGAGGAGAGGAGAAUGCAGGACACAAACCUCUAUGCAAUCAGGUAUGUCCCUCAAGGAACCCAGGGCAGGCGUUAGCCUUUCCUUUGCAGUGCUUUGCCUCGCAUCCACCUUAGUACUCAACCGGCACUCAAAGACUCCUGGGAGGGUUGCGCUGGUGCUUACUUUUGCUGAGAAGAGAUAGAGGGGGGUGCUUUGUCGUCGUCAUCACUCUCGCGAGCUAGUUUGUGAUAGUGGACUUGGAUAGGUUUGCUAACAAGGGUAUCUAUUUGUCUCUUUAUAAGGCUCGUCAAAUGUUUAAGAGCCCAAGGGCCAAAAGACAAGAGCAAUAUCAAUCCUAUGAGGGGGCCUAGGAGAGAGGGCAAGAGAGUAGUAAGCCAUGGGGAGGCUGAAAACCAAUUUUUAUACCAACUUUCAUCUUGCUCUCUUUCUUUCUUUCUUUUUUCUAACCCUUCUCUAACUCUUUUCAUACUAUCUCUAACUACUCCUGUUUUAUCAGCAUAGAAGCAGCACUCUUCUUUCAGGGCGGCGCAAAGCCCACCUUGCUGCAGAAAGAGUAGGCCUAGCCCUCUGCGGUUUUGGAGAACUACUUCAGCGAGGGAUGCGAUUGAAUCUGUCAGAAAGCACUAUCCAGGUGUAGUUCCAGGGAAAGUGUCGGGAUCUCGCGGGUUGCGGCGCUGGCAGAUGGCUCAGAGCUGUGGUCAUAAUCAGGAGGAUGAGGACUUUUGGCAACUGCAUCUGCAAUGGAAAAAGAAUUUGUCUCAGGCGGAGAUGGAGGCUCCAGUCUGGACUGUGCGAAUUCGACAAGCUCGGCUUUCCGAAGAACAAAGUCUCCCCCGUUUAAGGCUGUGCGAGCAAGCUGAUGGAAUUCAUUUGGGGUGACAGGAAGGAGAGACAGACCUCAAAGGGGCACAUUUCAUUUACAUAAGACAUGUUAUACAAAGAAGAGUUGGGGACAAUACACAUCCUGGCAGUCACCUUGCUCCGAGGGAAAUUAAGAGGAAAGAAGAACUGCCCAUCUGGACAUACGGACUCUUUGCCACUGGAUCCUGCUCUGCUUUCCUUGGAUUUCCCUGAAGGCCCGAAAAUCUGCAACCAUCCCGAACUCCUCCAAUAAACAUGGUCCAGCACUCGUGUCUUUUGGACACCUGAAAUA